CUUCUGUGCUGUGUCUGCACUCCAGAUUCACCCCUCCCUCAAGUUCCAUCCAGGAAACUUUGUGUUCAGUUGAAGUUGUUACACAGUUCAGCUAAAAGUUUCCUCCCUGUGGUCUUUUCCCAGUUCCUCUGGCAGCACUCCCCAAGGACCUCUGUGAGACAAAGUCAGAAAUGGUUUCCCUGGGGACCAAGAGAGCCACAGGGCUCUUCUAGCUGCUUCUUCUACCCUUGUAUUUUGCUCAGCUUUCUAGAAUUGUCUCAACCCCGGGUAAAGUCAAAUCCUUCUCUUGUGAUCUGAACCUUCAGGUUCCCCAGUGAGAGUGUGUGUUUGGGGGUGGAUGAUCCCCCUUUCACACUUUCACACUUUGGCUGUCUCUCGGGGCCUGCAAGAGUGAUUCACUUCCUUCAGAGGGUCUGUGAAUUCUCUCAGAUUUCCUGCAAUAGGAAGACUCACAGAGAUACAGCAGCCUAGACUUCAACCAGCUUGUCAUCUCCAAUCAAUUAUUUGUGGAUACAUUGAGCACUGUGCUGACAGGCUCAGCUUUAAUGUCAUGAUCUCCUGUUAUUUCCUGUGCAGCCUGUGUAUCUGCAGCCAUCUGGGCAAAACAGAGCUGCUGCAGUAGACAAGCAAGAUCGUCCUAUGAAGAGAAACAGGAAUCCACUGCUGAUGCUAAUUUCUCUGAGAAGACUACUGGUCAGUUCUACCUGGCAUGCAGCUUCCUUCUCUUUGACAACAACAAAGACUAUUUUAAUCUUCCUGGCAUCAGCGCUUUGUCGUAAUCUGAAGGACAAGAAGAUGCAGUAAAGCAACAAUAAGUAACUAUGACCUCAUAUGUGGAGCCUAGAAUUAUAAGAAAAGAGUCAGAAAUACACUCCAUAUUGUCAUCUUUCUUUGUACGUGCUCAUAUGUGGGACACAUACAGGUCGAUGGGCAAAUCAGGUGCCAAGCAAAAUAGAUUACAUAAGAUUCUGAAUUAGGUACAGGUUUGUGACUUUGGUGGCUAACUCACUUGAAUCUGACAUGUAGCAGCUCUCAGCCUCAGUCUCCCUCAGAUAUUUGAAGCCUUACUGUAAAAGAUUCAAACACUACAGAGGCUUCAGAAGUGCUAGACUCUUCCUUCACCUCUUACAUUUUUACCCCCACACCGAACGAGGAUUGAACUGUUAAUAAUUUGUUGGGUUUCUGUGAAGACCUUUUCUUCUUCUUCUUUUUUUUAAUUUGACAGGGUCUUGCUUUGUUGCCCAGGCUAGAGUGCGAUAGCAAGAUCUCAGCUCACUGCAACCUCUAUCUCCCAGGCUCAAGGGAUCCUCCCACCUCCCCCUCACAAGUCAAGUAGCUAGGACCACAGGCACAUAUCACCAUGCCUAGCUAAUUUUUUAAUUUUUUAGAGUCGAGGUCUCACUUAUUGCCCAGACUGGUCUCAAACUCCUGGGCUCCAGAGAUCCUCCUGCUUCAGCCUCCCAAAGUGCUGGGAUUACAGGAGUGAGCCACCAGUGUGGUGGUGGCUAGUCCUUUUUUUAUGUCACCACUUGGAUAUAAAUAUAGAGAAAACCUUGAUCUUCUUAUUGUAUUAAUGGAGAAAUACAGCUUUGGUGAUUAUGGUAGAUUACAUGGUUGUUGCCUACUAUUGGGUCCCUUCUUAAAAGGAUAGCACACAUCCUUGUCUAUUGCAAUAUGAUUUGCAGUUCCUCCCAAUAUGUACAUCUGAGAGAGUGGAAAUUUACAUAGGCAAUUUGAACUUCCCAUCUGGAUCUCAGAGAAGUCUGAAAUAAAGUGAUGUAAAAAUUUGGGGGUUGUCAUAUGAAUGAUGGUGCUGUUCUCUAAAUCAGGGAACCAUGGAGAUGGGCCACCAUACCAGUUACUGUGACUAUGUAUAAAUAAAAAGUGCUUUUCCUUCUACGUUAACACUAAACACAUCCCACUUCACUUCUGACACCAGAUGUGUCGGGGGUUCCCCACACACCAAGCAAUUCUCCAUCAGACACCAAUUGGGUGUCCUAUAAUUUAACUCAAUUCUGACACUAUCUCCUUGGAGUUAGAGUCAGAUCCCACAGGUUAAGGGCUCAGUCCCACAAGAUUUCCCCAACUUCAGAUGCCAAUUGCAAGUAGUAGGUUGUCACCUACACUUCCGACAAACUAGAUAUACAUCAACGUUCCCAAAACCCCCUUCUUCAAUUUGCUAGAAUGGCUCACAGAAUUCAGCAAAA
rnacentral:lncRNA from 10 species